GAACGUAAAUGUAACGACCCAAUUCCGGCUACAGAGUUUGUUAGCACGCCAACGUCGAUGCACACACCCACAGUGACUGAGUCACCACCAGAGCUCGCCGGAGUCGCCUCACGCAGUGAUCACGUCCAGCUUGUCACCACCGAUCGCAACCCUAGACCAUCAUCGUGUUCCUCUCGACGAGACGAAUCCAUAGCCACCGAAAUCGUCGAAAUCGGAGCUCAGACGAAGCCGUACGAGCCUCCAGAAGAUCAGCCUUCGCGCGCGCGUGAAACAGACGCUCCGCCGUCUCUUCGCCGGAGCCGCCGCGCCCGGCCGCCGUCAGUUCGCCGCCGGGAAUCCGCCGCCGCGUCACCACCGCACCGCCGCCGCCGCCGGUGACUUUUCCGAUUUGGAGUCUAUUUGAGCAUCUGGAGUUCAUAGAUACCACUUCUCUACAUUUUCUAAGGUGAGACCGCCGAGCGGGAGUGAUUCUACUGGACGGAUGCUUUUGAGUGCUUUUGGGCUUUUGGGCUUUUAUCACUUCUACCGCUAUCUACUUUUAGGCCUUCGGGCUUUUAUCUAUCGUUUAUGUAUUUCGUAUUUUCGGACUUACGGAUUUAUGUCGUUAUUUAUGUUUCGGAUGUUAUCGAUAUUUACGGAUUUGUCCUUAUGGUAUUAUGAUGUCGAGGAUGUUGACUUUGGAUUAUUUAUAAAUGGAGACGAUUAUUAUUAUUAUGUUAUUUUAUUAUUAUCGAAUUUUCGAGAGUGACGGGUGUCACAGUUUUUGGUAUCAGAGCCGUGUUCCGUCCCGGUUCUGUCCCGGGAUGGCGAUUUUUGGAGACUCGGUUUUUAUUCGGUUUUAAUCGGUUUUCAAAUAU